AGGACGAACGCUGGCGGCGUGCUUAACACAUGCAAGUCACGGGGGCUCGCAAGAGCAACCGGCGAACGGGUGCGUAACACGUGAGCAAUCUACCGAUUUCUGGGGGAUAGCCGGCCCAACGGCCGGGUAAUACCGCAUACGUUCUCGAGGGGGAUUCCUCUUGAGAAGAAACCUCCGGGGGAAAUCGAGGAGCUCGCGGCCUAUCAGCUAGUUGGUGAGGUAACGGCUCACCAAGGCAACGACGGGUAGC
rnacentral:rRNA from 1 species